rnacentral:rRNA from 1 species
GAUGAACGCUGGCGGCAUGCCUAACACAUGCAAGUCGAUCGGUAAGGCUCUUCGGAGUACACGAGAGGCGGACGGCUGAGUAACGCGUAGGAACACACCCUGCAGUGAGGGAUAAGACACCGAAAGGUGUUCUAAUACCGCAUACGGUCUUCGGAUUAAAGCAUUUAUGCGCUGAAGGAGUGGCCUGCGUCACAUUAGAUAGUUGGUGAGGUAAUGGCUCACCAAGUCGAUGAUGUGUAGCUGGUCUGAGAGGAUGAUCAGCCAGACUGGAACUGAGACACGGUCCAGACUCCUACGGGAGGCAGCAGUGAGGAAUAUUUCACAAUGAGCGAAAGCUUGAUGGAGCAAUGCCGCGUGCAGGAUGAAGGCCCUCGGGUUGUAAACUGCUUUUAUAAGAGAAGAUUAUGACGGUAACUUAUGAAUAAGGGACGGCUAACUACGUG